GAUUGAACGCUGGCGGCAGGCCUAACACAUGCAAGUCGAACGGUAACAGGAAGCAGCUUGCUGCUUCGCUGACGAGUGGCGGACGGGUGAGUAAUGUCUGGGAAACUGCCUGAUGGAGGGGGAUAACUACUGGAAACGGUAGCUAAUACCGCAUAACGUCGCAAGACCAAAGAGGGGGACCUUCGGGCCUCUUGCCAUCGGAUGUGCCCAGAUGGGAUUAGCUAGUAGGUGGGGUAACGGCUCACCUAGGCGACGAUCCCUAGCUGGUCUGAGAGGAUGACCAGCCACACUGGAACUGAGACACGGUCCAGACUCCUACGGGAGGCAGCAGUGGGGAAUAUUGCACAAUGGGCGCAAGCCUGAUGCAGCCAUGCCGCGUGUAUGAAGAAGGCCUUCGGGUUGUAAAGUACUUUCAGCGGGGAGGAAGGCGAUAAGGUUAAUAACCUUGUCGAUUGACGUUACCCGCAGAAGAAGCACCGGCUAACUCCGUGCCAGCAGCCGCGGUAAUACGGAGGGUGCAAGCGUUAAUCGGAAUUACUGGGCGUAAAGCGCACGCAGGCGGUCUGUCAAGUCGGAUGUGAAAUCCCCGGGCUCAACCUGGGAACUGCAUUCGAAACUGGCAGGCUAGAGUCUUGUAGAGGGGGGUAGAAUUCCAGGUGUAGCGGUGAAAUGCGUAGAGAUCUGGAGGAAUACCGGUGGCGAAGGCGGCCCCCUGGACAAAGACUGACGCUCAGGUGCGAAAGCGU
rnacentral:rRNA from 1 species